rnacentral:lncRNA from 1 species
UGAACAAAAUGAGCAAUUUAAUUCUCGGGGUAUCAUGCAGCGGUAUCGUCUCACUCAAAUUAUAAUAUAUAAAGUUGUUUUUUUAUAAAUAUAUUCUAAAAAUGAGAUAUAUAUUUUUAAUAAUCAUUAUUAUUUCCAUUAAGAUAGAUUAAUUUUUCAAAUCAUUUUUAUUAUUUUAUAAACAUCAUGACAUGACAAUUGAUGGUUGGACUCCAUAAAAUCAUUAAAAAAAAUUAAUGAAAAAGAUCUUUAAAACUUUAAAUUUUAAUUAAAAAUCAUCUUAUAACUUUAUUUAAUGAUAAUUAUAAGAGAAAGAAAAAAUAAAUAAACAAAAAAAACCGCGCGUGCAAGGAACUUCAGGCCUGGAAGACUUCUUUCACGCUGCUGUUUAGUUUUGUUCUUGUUGGCAUCUUCAUUUUGGAAUUGGAUAUUUGUCUUCUCUGAUUUGUUUGCAGGUUGAGAGAACUUGGUGUUCUCUUCAUUAAUAACAAUACCAAAAACCAACUGGGAAGGCUUUUGAACUUCUGAUGGAUAUUUUUGUAUUCAAUUUAAUUGAUUUAGUUUGCAUUAUUUUUCGAUUUUGCAUAUGGAGAAGGUGAGAUUGUAGGUGAGGAGAAGAGGAAGUCGUACAUGUGCAGAUAAUGGAAGAAAAUUAAGUAAUUGGUGUAGAAAGCUAAGAAAUUGAAGAGAUUCAUAAAAAUUUGAUGAGAAUCGAAGAAAAUUAGAAGAAGAAAAGGUCUUUGGAAGGUGAGAAAGUGCCAAGAAAAUUCAAGAAGAGGAGAGAGAAGAAUGGUCGUUAGACUUCUUGGAAAGAUACAAUAUUAAGUUUAAUAAAUAACCAGUGCACAACAACCUUGUUUAGUUCCAGAAAUAGUGUCAGUGUUCAGUUUCAGAAAUAUUGUAGUACCUUGUUCAAUUUCAGAAAUAAUGUAGUAUUCGUGUUUAGUUUCAAAAAUAGUGUAGUACCGUUUAGUUUUAGAAAUAGUGUAGUUCUGUCAGUUUAAAAAAUAGUGUGUGUUACUUACGCGCAGUCCUGCGCGUCAGUUUUUUAUUACUUCUUUUAUUUUUAUUAUAUUAAGCUUUUGUCAUUUUCAUUAAAAUUUAAGCAUUUUUCAUUAAAUAAAGUUAUGGAAUGAUUUUUUUUGUUAAAAUAAACUUAGUCCAAGCUCUUUUCAUUAAAACUCCCUUAAAAAUAAAAAUAAAAAGUUCAACCAUCAAACGCCAUCAUGUGGUCUACAAAAUUUGAUAAAAAAAUGUGAUCUUCCUUGCAUUUUACUAUUAAUUAUAUUGUCUAUAUCCUUAUUAUAACAUGUAAAAUAAUACACGACGUAGUUUAUUAUAAAAGUUUCUCUAAUGAUUGUACUACAAAAUAUUUCUAUCCAAGUAUGUAGAUAAUUUACUUAAAGUUGAUUCUGUUGUACAUCUAUAUAGACACUACAUUUCCAUGGGGUUAUAAGUAACGCAAACAUGAUUCGCACCUUACAACGUUGUACAGACAUAAAUUGAGACAUCUUUUACUAAUAUUGGGGUGAAAAACAUCCCAUGACGAAGAUUUAUUUAAUAUUUAUUCAAUAGAAAAGUCAUUACAUAUAUAGCAUUAUUCAAUCAAAACUACAUUAUUUCAUGUGACACAGAAGGCGAAGAGUGAAGUUCCGGCCGUAUACUGACGUUUAUAUCCACUGCCAACGUAAAUGCAACCAUCACUAAUUGACAUGCCACCGAACACGGAUGCUCCAGUGUCAUAGGACCACAAAAAUUUUCCGUUUUCAGUGUUCAUUGCGUAGAUGGAGCCACGCGGAUUUGUAGAUCCAGCAAAUAAAAUACCAUUAGCGACACUAACUGGACCAGAAGAAGUUGAAUUGCUGGGAUUGGCAGUUGACCAUAAGAUUUUGCCAUUUUCAGGAGCCAUUGCAACCCAUCCACCCCAAGUUGUUAUGUUACUAGAUGGUUUUAGAGUAAAGUUUCUGGACUCAGAGUUAGCAAUGUUGGUGUACACCUUUUUCUUGUCUGUAGCUGCUCCCCAUGUUCCUCCUCCGGCAACGCCACCAGGUCCGGCUUCCUACAUAUUAUCAUACAGGUAUGUACUAUUCAGUAAACCAUACCGUUAUUAACCGCAUUAUACACAAGUGCAAUCCCUUUAAGUAAGAAAAUAUCGAGUAGAUAUCAACAUUAGAUCGAAAAACAAUAAAACUAUUCAUUUGUACCGUAUUUAUUGAUUAUUUUGUUGACCAUUUGCUAAUAGAAGUGAACCUCAACCACACAAAAUAUGUGUAUGUGCAUAUCUCUAUUAGAAAUGUGGUCAAUAAUAAAAUUCAAGCUCAUGCAUUGUAGAAUAAACAACAAUUAAAAGUGUAAGAUAAAAUGAUCAGUGUGUCCAAAGUCAAAAUUUACCGUUGACCAAAUAAGGGUGCCAUUAUUCCGAUCUAGAGCCCAAGCAAAGCCACUUUUUUGGACAGCAACAACUAAAUCUCGCUUGGUUCCAUUGACACAGGUCUUGAGCAUCAUCGGUGCCUCCCCAAAGUCAGCAUCCACGUUUGGUCCGGUUGGGCAGGUUGAAGUAUUAAGGAAACACUCAAGAAACCAAACAUCGUAGCCGCCCAAAUGGUGGUUCCACUUGAUAUCGCCGCUGUCCAGAUCAAGGGCUAGGAUUGAGUUGCCGCGGUUAUCAGGCUCAACACAUGCAUCUGGAUGAGUGGGUAGAGUUGAAUUGUUCUGAUUUUCUUGGCAUUGACUUACAUUUUCUGGGACUGAGUACACAUUGCCAGUAGCAAUAUAAACAUGUUUUCUAUGGACGUCGAUGGAUGGACUGCUGCCCCAGAUAGCUGCACCGGAAUAACUCCCUAGCUGUCCAUGAUUAUCAGGCAGCAUGAAGGUCUUCCACAAUACGGUGCCGGAUUUGGCAUCCAACUUGGCAAGGCUGCCACGGAAGGUACAACAUUCCUCAGGGCUCAGGGUUUCUUCUAGUGAUGACGUCCCAAUGUAUAUGCUCCUGUAAUUAUAAUGAAGUUAAUUAAGAACAUAUAUAUACGUGAGAAUUGAAUUUUUAUUGCUAAAUAUAAACGUCUAUUGAAGUCGAACUUAAUAUUUCUCACUUAUAAGUGAAAAUAAAUAUCACUUUACCAUAAUACUAAGUGAUCUAAAAACUCGACAUCUACUAGACUUUUUUCUUAUAAAUUUUAUCCAACUUGUAACUCAAAAUUAGUCAGACUAAAUCGGGUAGAGGUUAGAUUGAUU